rnacentral:rRNA from 1 species
UCCUACGGGGCGCAGCAGUGGGGAAUAUUGCACAAUGGGGGAAACCCUGAUGCAGCGACGCCGCGUGAGUGAAGAAGUGCCUCGGCACGUAAAGCUCUAUCAGCAGGGAAGAAAAUGACGGUACCUGACUAAGAAGCCCCGGCUAACUACGUGCCAGCAGCCGCGGUAAUACGUAGGGGGCAAGCGUUAUCCGGAUUUACUGGGUGUAAAGGGAGCGUAGACGGUAUGGCAAGUCUGAUGUGAAAACCCGGGGCUCAACCCCGGGACUGCAUUGGAAACUGUCGGACUAGAGUGUCGGAGAGGCA